GUGGAUUGGAAUAUCUUUCUCCAUGUAGCAGUAUUAUCAAAGAUUUAGAAUGGAAAAGGCAAUUAGUAAUUGCCCACAGUGUAGAGAACUCUAUCCGAGUAGUUUACCCAAAACAAGUCAUUAUAUAAGAUGUGGUUUGCCAUUGACUUAACAUUGUGGUCAUGUUGUUUGCUAUCAAUGUAUAGUUUCUAAAAGAUCUCACCCCAAACAUCAUGGCACUGUAUCCUCUAAUAAUGGCACUGACUCCACCACUAUCAGAUGUGCAGUCUGUAAAUUUGUGUCUGUUAUUCCACACGAGGCUGUUCAAAAUGUACUGGGAGUUAUCAAUUGCUACCAAUUGGGCCUGAUUCAGCUGGAUGAGCUGGUGAUCAAUAUGGCAGUGGAAAACAUUGGCUUAAAAGAUGGAUCUAGAGGAUUAUUUGUCCCCUGUUGCCCAGAAUUGGUUGUGGAAAGACCCCGGCUGCUUAAUUCCCCAGGAUAAUGCCCCAUUCACAACACCUCAAUAGACUUCUGCAUACUACAGCGAUGAACUUCUGUUGUGUGGGCGUUGUAGGAUAUCUUGCCAUCUUGUCCAUGAUCUUGUCAGGUUGUUAGACAGGAACAAAGAGGAGCUAGAACGUUUCUAUGAGGUGGCUGAUGAAGCGGUGAAAUUGGUCGGCAAUAUGAAGAAAACAUGCAGUUACAUCUAAGGUCAAUCUGAGCAGAACGACCUAGGCCUACUCAUCAAA